UGGGGAAUUUUGGACAAUGGGCGCAAGCCUGAUCCAGCCAUGCCGCGUGAGUGAAGAAGGCCUUCGGGUUGUAAAGCUCUUUCGGACGGGAAGAAAUGGCGGGCUCUAACAUAGCCUGUCGAUGACGGUACCGUAAGAAGAAGCACCGGCUAACUACGUGCCAGCAGCCGCGGUAAUACGUAGGUGGCAAGCGUUGUCCGGAUUUACUGGGCGUAAAGGAUGCGUAGGCGGAUACUUAAGUCAGAUGUGAAAAUCCCGGGCUUAACUUGGGAACUGCAUUUGAAACUGGGUAUCUAGAGUGCGGGAGAGGAAAGUGGAAUUCCUAGUGUAGCGGUGAAAUGCGUAGAGAUUAGGAAGAACACCAGUGGCGAAGGCGACUUUCUGGACCGUAACUGACGCUGAGGCAUGAAAGCGUGGGGAGCAAACA
rnacentral:rRNA from 1 species